rnacentral:rRNA from 1 species
GUUGGGUAGGGGAGCGUUCUGUAAGCCUGUGAAGGUGGCCUGUGAGGGUUGCUGGAGGUAUCAGAAGUGCGAAUGCUGACAUAAGUAACGAUAAAGCGGGUGAAAAGCCCGCUCGCCGGAAGACCAAGGGUUCCUGUCCAACGUUAAUCGGGGCAGGGUGAGUCGACCCCUAAGGCGAGGCCGAAAGGCGUAGUCGAUGGGAAACGGGUUAAUAUUCCCGUACUUGGUGUUACUGCGAAGGGGGGACGGAGAAGGCUAUGUUGGCCGGGCGACGGUUGUCCCGGUUUAAGCGUGUAGGUGUGUGUUCCAGGUAAAUCCGGUUCACUUUAACACUGAGGCGUGAUGACGAGGCACUACGGUGCUGAAGUAACAAAUGCCCUGCUUCCAGGAAAAGCCUCUAAGCAUCAGGUAACAUCAAAUCGUACCCCAAACCGACACAGGUGGUCAGGUAGAGAAUACCAAGGCGCUUGAGAGAACUCGGGUGAAGGAACUAGGCAAAAUGGUGCCGUAACUUCGGGAGAAGGCACGCUGACACGUAGGUGAAGUGAUUUACUCACGGAGCUGAAGUCAGUCGAAGAUACCAGCUGGCUGCAACUGUUUAUUAAAAACACAGCACUGUGCAAACACGAAAGUGGACGUAUACGGUGUGACGCCUGCCCGGUGCCGGAAGGUUAAUUGAUGGGGUCAGCGCAAGCGAAGCUCCUGAUCGAAGCCCCGGUAAACGGCGGCCGUAACUAUAACGGUCCUAAGGUAGCGAAAUUCCUUGUCGGGUAAGUUCCGACCUGCACGAAUGGCGUAAUGAUGGCCAGGCUGUCUCCACCCGAGACUCAGUGAAAUUGAACUCGCUGUGAAGAUGCAGUGUACCCGCGGCAAGACGGAAAGACCCCGUGAACCUUUACUAUAGCUUGACACUGAACAUUGAGCCUUGAUGUGUAGGAUAGGUGGGAGGCUUUGAAGUGUGGACGCCAGUCUGCAUGGAGCCGACCUUGAAAUACCACCCUUUAAUGUUUGAUGUUCUAACGUGGACCCGUUACCCGGGUUGCGGACAGUGUCUGGUGGGUAGUUUGACUGGGGCGGUCUCCUCCUAAAGAGUAACGGAGGAGCACGAAGGUUGGCUAAUCCUGGUCGGACAUCAGGAGGUUAGUGCAAUGGCAUAAGCCAGCUUGACUGCGAGCGUGACGGCGCGAGCAGGUGCGAAAGCAGGUCAUAGUGAUCCGGUGGUUCUGAAUGGAAGGGCCAUCGCUCAACGGAUAAAAGGUACUCCGGGGAUAACAGGCUGAUACCGCCCAAGAGUUCAUAUCGACGGCGGUGUUUGGCACCUCGAUGUCGGCUCAUCACAUCCUGGGGCUGAAGUAGGUCCCAAGGGUAUGGCUGUUCGCCAUUUAAAGUGGUACGCGAGCUGGGUUUAGAACGUCGUGAGACAGUUCGGUCCCUAUCUGCCGUGGGCGCUGGAGAACUGAGGGGGGCUGCUCCUAGUACGAGAGGACCGGAGUGGACGCAUCACUGGUGUUCGGGUUGUCAUGCCAAUGGCACUGCCCGGUAGCUAAAUGCGGAAGAGAUAAGUGCUGAAAGCAUCUAAGCACGAAACUUGCCCCGAGAUGAGUUCUCCCUGAGACUUAAAGUCUCCUGAAGGAACGUUGAAGACGACGACGUUGAUAGGCCGGGUGUGUAAGCGCAGCGAUGCGUUGAGCUAACCGGUACUAAUGAACCGUGAGGCUUAACCCUACAACGCCGAAG